rnacentral:lncRNA from 1 species
AUAUUACUAUAUCAUGUUCAAACAGUGGUGGAGUUGCGAUGUGGACCUGUAUUCUGUCCAGCAGGGGGCAACUCCUGUGUUGCAAUAAAUAAAUAAAUAAUCUACUUAUUUAGUAACCAGAAUAUUUUAACAUGAAUGCUACAUAUAUUGUAGUUAGCAGUCUAAUCUGUUGUAUUAGACUACUACCAAAACUUCUAGAUGCCGUAUGCGUAUGUCUGUGACAGGUAACGCAGUUAUUUUCCCAAAUACCAAGAGUCCAAAAAAACAAAACACAUUUACAUGUUAUACAGAUAUUAUACAGAUAUUCAUAUAUUCUUGGAGACUAACUGAAUGAAACAUUGUCACAUAUUUCCAGACACAUCGAGCUUCAUCUAUGUGAAUGUGAGUGAGACCUGGGAAAACGCUCAGAGCUACUGCAGGGUGAAGCACACAGAUCUGGCCAGUGUGAGGAACCAGUCUGAGAAUGAACAGCUGAAGAUGAUGUUGAACAAUUCCCCCACGUAGAUCGGUCUCUAUAGAAAUUCAUGGAUGUGGUCAGAUGGGAGCGCAUAUUCAUUCCCCAACUGGGCUCCCAACAAGCCAUCGAGUAAACACAACUACUCCUGUGGCACCACAUAUUUAGAGAAGUGGCACAACAGUGCGUGUAAUGGCUACAAUUACUUCCUCUGUUACACUGCUGUCAAGGACCAGAGACUGUUUAAGGUAGAGCUGAAGACAACAGAUGCCUCUGUGGACAUGGAGGUGCUGCAGAACGACAUCUUGGAAAAGUUCAAUCAGAGGCUGCUGGAGAACGGUCUGAGUGAAUUCACGCUGAGAUGGGUGAAGCAGCUUGAUGGACAACUCUUCCACAAAAAGGAACAAGAGGAGGAGAAAGAGGAGAAUGAAGAGGAGAUCUGUGCUGUCACACUGACACUUUGAUUUUCCAGCAUUCCCCAGCUUUUACUGUCUUGGCUCACUUAUAACUAAUAUUGUACAUUCUUCUGUUCUGUCAUCUCUUAAAACUGCCAUCAACUUUGGCUAACUGUGGUUUGUCCUAGCUCUCUGCCCUGUUCACUGAAAAAAAUAACCUGUUUGAUUAUCAAUAAAAAGAAAUCUACAUUAGUUGCAAGCAAUAAAGUUAUGUUUAGUCAACCUUAAUUUUCUGUUUUAUAAGUCCACAGUUUUAUA